rnacentral:lncRNA from 1 species
CUGUGCUAAGUUGUUAGACCCCCGAAAACUCAAGUAUCCGGGGUCUCAGGCCAGGUUCGCGGUCACCCCAAUCACCAGGCGGAUUCGAGAGCUUGCUGCAAACUGCACGAGGCUUUAUUGUAAUUUAACGAACUAACCCCAUGUUAGCUCGGGUCUUUCACCCACCCGCCAUGGCGGACAGCUAGAAAAAGACGGCUCCUAAGGUCUCCCCAAAGAUCUUAUAGGGCAGCGUAAGGGGAGUGUCUAGGGGUACGCACAGGCUUACGAUUGGUGUGCCUCCAGGCUUGGAGGGCUUGCCCUGUGUUGAUUGGUCAACUGGUUGUUAUGGCUCAUAGGCCCUCCCAGGGUGGUUGCUAUGCUCUCUACGUCAUUGUCGUGCGCUUGUCCGUAAAGCACACCCAGGGGUCGUAAAGCAUAGCGCCACCAGCUAACUUCCGAUUGGUUCCUUGUCACGAGACAGGCAUCUGACCUCUACGUGACCAAGGCAGGUUUAUGGCAAGCACGUGUUCGGCUGUAAUGGCUGCCAAAAGG